rnacentral:rRNA from 1 species
UACGGCGGGUGCAAGCAUUAAUCGGAUUUAUUGGGUGUAAAGGGCAUGUAGGCGGUUUUGUAAGUCAAAGGUGAAAUGGCCCGGCUCACCCAGGUCAUUGCCUUUGAAACUGCAGGACUUGAGUACGGAAGAGGAAAGCGGAAUUCCCAGUGUAGCGGUGAAAUGCGUAGAUAUUGGGAGGAACACCGGUGGCGAAGGCGGCUUUCUGGUCCGAAACUGACACUGAGAUGCGAAAGCCAGGGGAGCAAACGGG